rnacentral:rRNA from 1 species
UACGGGGGGGGCAAGCGUUGUUCGGAAUUACUGGGCGUAAAGGGCGCGUAGGCGGCCUACUAAGUCAGACGUGAAAUCCCCCGGCUUAACCUGGGAACUGCGUCUGAUACUGGAAGGCUUGAGGAUGGGAGAGGGAUGUAGAAUUCCAGGUGUAGCGGUGAAAUGCGUAGAUAUCUGGAGGAAUACCGGUGGCGAAGGCGGCAUCCUGGACCUUACUGACGCUGAGGAGCGAAAGCAUGGGGAGCGAACAGG